AUGCAAAUUGCUGGACUCAACACCCUCGGCAUCUCAAUUGCACGCAUCGACUAUGCUCCCUUGGGUCAAAACCCACCACACACGCACCCUCGCGCUACUGAGAUCCUCACGGUGCUCGAGGGGACACUGUAUAUUGGCUUUGUCACAUCCAACCAGCCCGCCCCCAACAGAAACAAGUUCCUCUCCAAGGUGCUCAACAAAGGUGAUGUGUUUGUCUUCCCCGUGGGGCUCAUCCACUUCCAAUUCAACCCCAACCCCCACCAGCCCGCUGUUGCAAUUGCCGCGCUCAGCAGCCAGAACCCAGGGGCUAUCACAAUUGCCAAUGCAGUGUUUGGGUCAGACCCAGCAAUAUCAGAUGAUGUUCUUGCCAAGGCAUUUCAGGUGGAAAAGAAUACAAUAGACUAUCUCCAGGCUCAGUUCUGGGAGAACAACCACUACUAA
rnacentral:rRNA from 1 species